rnacentral:rRNA from 1 species
AGUGAACGCUGGCGGUAGGCCUAACACAUGCAAGUCGAACGGCAGCACAGUAAGCGCUUGCUCUUACGGGUGGCGAGUGGCGGACGGGUGAGGAAUACAUCGGAAUCUACUUUUUCGUGGGGGAUAACGUAGGGAAACUUACGCUAAUACCGCAUACGACCUACGGGUGAAAGCAUGGGUUCUUCGGACCUUGCGCGAUUGAAUGAGCCGAUGUCGGAUUAGCUAGUUGGCGGGGUAAAGGCCCACCAAGGCGACGAUCCGUAGCUGGUCUGACCGGAUGAUCAGCCACACUGGAACUGAGACACGGUGCAGACUCCUACGGGAGGCAGCAGUGGGGAAUAUUGGACAAUGGGCGCAAGCCUGAUCCAGCCAUACCGCGUGGGUGAAGAAGGCCUUCGGGUUGUAAAGCCCUUUUGUUGGGAAAGAAAAGCAGCAGGUUAAUACCCCGCUGUUCUGACGGUACCCAAAGAAUAAGCACCGGCUAACUUCGUG